rnacentral:rRNA from 1 species
AUUGAACGCUGGCGGCAGGCCUAACACAUGCAAGUCGAACGAGUGGCGGACGGGUGAGUAAUGUCUGGGAAACUGCCUGAUGGAGGGGGAUAACCACUGGAAACGGUAGCUAAUACCGCAAACUAUCGGAUGUGCCCAGAUGGGAUUAGCUAGUAGGUGGUGUAAAGGCUCACCUAGGCGACGAUCCCUAGCUGGUCUGAGAGGCUGAUCAGCCACACUGGAACUGAGACACGGUCCAGACUCCUACGGGAGGCAGCAGUGGGGAAUAUUGCACAAUGGGCGCAAGCCUGAUGCAGCCAUGCCGCGUGUAUGAAGAAGGCCUUCGGGUUGUAAAGUACUUUCAGCGGGGAGGCGUUACCCGCAGAAGAAGCACCGGCUAACUCCGUGCCAGCCGCCGCGGUAAUUC